rnacentral:rRNA from 1 species
GACGUCAAAUCAUCAUGCCCCUUAUGACCUGGGCUACACACGUGCUACAAUGGGAAGUACAACGAGUUGCGAAGUCGCGAGGCUAAGCUAAUCUCUUAAAGCUUCUCUCAGUUCGGAUUGCAGGCUGCAACUCGCCUGCAUGAAGCCGGAAUCGCUAGUAAUCGCGGAUCAGCACGCCGCGGUGAAUACGUUCCCGGGCCUUGUACACACCGCCCGUCACACCACGAGAGUUUGUAACACCCGAAGUCGGUGAGGUAACCUUUUGGAGCCAGCCGCCGAAGGUGGGAUAGAUGAUGGGGUGAAGCGAUCCAGGUUGCU